AGAGUUUGAUCCUGGCUCAGGAUGAACGCUAGCGACAGGCUUAACACAUGCAAGUCGAGGGGCAGCAUGGUAGGUAGCAAUACUUAUUGAUGGCGACCGGCGCACGGGUGAGUAACGCGUAUGCAACUUACCUAUCAGAGGGGGAUAGCCCGGCGAAAGUCGGAUUAAUACUCCAUAAAACAGGGGUCCCGCAUGGGACUAUUUGUUAAAGAUUCAUCGCUGAUAGAUAGGCAUGCGUUCCAUUAGGCAGUUGGCGGGGUAACGGCCCACCAAACCGACGAUGGAUAGGGGUUCUGAGAGGAAGGUCCCCCACAUUGGUACUGAGACACGGACCAAACUCCUACGGGAGGCAGCAGUGAGGAAUAUUGGUCAAUGGCCGAGAGGCUGAACCAGCCAAGUCGCGUGAAGGAUGAAGGAUCUAUGGUUUGUAAACUUCUUUUAUAGGGGAAUAAAGUGUGGGACGUGUCCCAUUUUGUAUGUACCCUAUGAAUAAGCAUCGGCUAACUCCGUGCCAGCAGCCGCGGUAAUACGGAGGAUGCGAGCGUUAUCCGGAUUUAUUGGGUUUAAAGGGUGCGUAGGUGGUAAUUUAAGUCAGCGGUGAAAGUUUGUGGCUCAACCAUAAAAUUGCCGUUGAAACUGGGUUACUUGAGUGUGUUUGAGGUAGGCGGAAUGCGUGGUGUAGCGGUGAAAUGCAUAGAUAUCACGCAGAACUCCAAUUGCGAAGGCAGCUUACUAAACCAUAACUGACACUGAAGCACGAAAGCGUGGGUAUCAAACAGGAUUAGAUACCCUGGUAGUCCACGCAGUAAACGAUGAUUACUAGGAGUUUGCGAUACACAGUAAGCUCUACAGCGAAAGCGUUAAGUAAUCCACCUGGGGAGUACGCCGGCAACGGUGAAACUCAAAGGAAUUGACGGGGGCCC
rnacentral:rRNA from 1 species